GGAGANGUGGCUCAGAGGUUAAGAGCACUGGCUGCUCUUCCAGAGGACCUGAGUUCAAUUCCCAGCACCCACA
rnacentral:tRNA from 1 species